rnacentral:rRNA from 1 species
GAUGAACGCUGGCGGCGUGCUUAACACAUGCAAGUCGAACGAUGAACCUGGAGCGUGCUCUGGGGGAUUAGUGGCGAACGGAUGAGUAACACGUGAGCAACCUGCCCCUGACUCUGGGAUAAGCGCUGGAAACGGCGUCUAAUACUGGAUAUGUGACGUGACCGCAUGGUCUGCGUUUGGAAAGAUUUUUCGGUUGGGGAUGGGCUCGCGGCCUAUCAGCUUGUUGGUGAGGUAAUGGCUCACCAAGGCGUCGACGGGUAGCCGGCCUGGGAGGGUGACCGGCCACACUGGGACUGAGACACGGCCCAGACUCCUACGGGAGGCAGCAGUGGGGAAUAUUGCACAAUGGGCGGAAGCCUGAUGCAGCAACGCCGCGUGAGGGAUGACGGCCUUCGGGUUGUAAACCUCUUUUAGCAGGGAAGAAGCGAGAGUGACGGUACCUGCAGAAAAAGCGCCGGCUAACUACGUGCCAGCCGCCGCCGUAAAAC